CGGUGCGUUGGGAGGACGAUAAAACACAGUCGUUUCAAAUCAAUUGGCCCGGUGUCCGCACUAGUACCGUCUUAGAUCACUUUCUUCCAUACCUGAAAAGUGAAAAACGGAAGGCAACCAAAAUGAGCGGAGCCACGACGGUGGCGUAUUUAGCUCGAAGAGCAGCGCAAAAGGAGAAAGUCCGGAUCCUCUACGGCUGUGCCCUUAAAGACAUCCUUAACUGGGCCGUCCAUCGCCACCUCUUCUAUCAAGAUGAAGAUCUUGAUACAGUUGAUAAAAUGAUAGCUGCAGGUGAAGCAACUUAUAAUAAGUGGCGGCAUCCUGAUCCUUAUAUCAAUUGAGAUUGUUUAUGAUUGUGGUCGAGAAGACAACGACUAAAACAUAUACCUUUCCUUUCCCAAGAAAUAAAGGUCGUGUAUUUGCAUGUUUUUCGGGUUAAUUUUAUCGUAGAAAUUGCAAGGAAACCUAAUUAUGAUGGUGGCAGCAUGCAAGACCUUCGCUUUCUUGGCAUUGGCUUUUAAACGAAUUAUUCAUACAAGUCAUUAUUACUUAUUAGCUCAUAUGUGGUAAAACGCCCUUAUACUCCAUGAAACAAACAAAACACGAUAGCAUAAAUUUGCAAUUUGGCACCAACAGAUGUUGGGUGUGGAUAUUUUCUUCAAGUAA